AACGAACGCUGGCGGCAUGCCUAACACAUGCAAGUCGAACGAGACCUUCGGGUAUAGUGGCGCACGGGUGCGUAACGCGUGGGAACCUGCCCUUAGGUUCGGAACAACUCCCCGAAAGGGGUGCUAAUACCGGAUAAUGUCUUCGGACCAAAGAUUUAUCGCCUUUGGAUGGGCCCGCGUUGGAUUAGCUAGUUGGUAGGGUAAAAGCCUACCAAGGCGACGAUCCAUAGCUGGUCUGAGAGGAUGAUCAGCCACACUGGGACUGAGACACGGCCCAGACUCCUACGGGAGGCAGCAGUGGGGAAUAUUGGACAAUGGGCGAAAGCCUGAUCCAGCAAUGCCGCGUGAGUGAUGAAGGCCUUAGGGUUGUAAAGCUCUUUUACCCGGGAUGAUAAUGACAGUACCGGGAGAAUAAGCUCCGGCUAACUCCGUG
rnacentral:rRNA from 1 species